AUUUAAGGUAGGUCACUGGUAACGGAAUUUGUAGCGUUCUGUACAGGUACUGUAGCUUGGGCAAUAAGGACGUUUUUAUGGCCGCUAUCCUACCCACCCAGGACAGAUACUUCCCCUCCCAAGAGUCUAAUGCGGCCUUGAGUGUAGUGGCUAGAGGUACAUAAUUGGUUUUAAAGAGGGAGGCUGGGUUUUUCGUCAUUUUAACUCCUAGGAAGGUCAAGUGAUCCUCUCUCCAAUCUAGGGGGAAGGACUGCCUCAGGAGUUCCAGUGUGUUAUUGGGUAUGUUGAUUCCCAUUGCUUGCGUCUUAGUGACAUUCAGCUUGUAAUACGAUAAUUGGCCAUAUGACUUGAUGUGGUUCAUUAAGUUCGGCAGGGAUAUCAGGGGUUGUGUUAGAGUCAGAAAGACAUCGUCGGCGAAGAUGCUCAGCUUAUAUUCCUUCUGACCCAGUUUGACGCCAUGUAUGGAGGGUUCUGCUCUGAUUUUGGCUGC